AACCAUAGAAACCUGCGGAGUACCUGCGGAAGGAUCAUUACAGAGUUCAUGCCCUCACGGGUAGAUCUCCCACCCUUGAAUACUAUACCUUUGUUGCUUUGGCGGGCCGCUUUGGCUACUGGCUCUGGCUAGUAAGUGCCCGCCAAAGAACCCCAAAACUCUGAAUAUUAGUGUCGUCUGAGUACUAUAUAAUAGUUAAAACUUUUAGCAAUGGAUCU
rnacentral:misc_RNA from 1 species